AUUGAACGCUGGCGGCAUGCUUUACACAUGCAAGUCGAACGGUAACAGGGUGCUUGCACCGCUGACGAGUGGCGAACGGGUGAGUAAUGCGUCGGAACGUGCCGAGUCGUGGGGGAUAACGCAGCGAAAGGUGUGCUAAUACUGCAUACGGACUGAGGUAGCAAGUGGGGGACCUUUGGGCCUCCACCUAUUCGAGCGGCCGACGUCUGAUUAGCUGGUAGGUGAGGAAAAGGCUCACCCAGGCGAGGAUAAAUAGCGGGUCUGAGAGGAUGAUCCGCCACACUGGGACUGAGACACGGCCCAGACUCCUACGGGAGGCAGCAGUGGGGAAUUUUGGACAAUGGGCGAAAGCCUGAUCCAGCCAUGCCGCGUGUCUGAAGAAGGCCUUCGGGUUGUAAAGGACUUUUGUCAGGGAGGAAAUCCCUAGUGCUAAUAACACUGGGGGAUGACAGUACCUGAAGAAUAAGCACCGGCUAACUACGUGCCAGCAGCCGCCGUAA
rnacentral:rRNA from 1 species